rnacentral:rRNA from 1 species
AUUGAACGCUGGCGGAAUGCUUUACACAUGCAAGUCGAACGGCAGCACGGACUUCGGUCUGGUGGCGAGUGGCGAACGGGUGAGUAAUGUACCGGAACGUGCCCAGUCGUGGGGGAUAACGUAGUGAAAAUUACGCUAAUACCCCAUACGAUCUAUGGAUGAAAGCGGGGGAUCGCAAGACCUCGCGCGAUUGGAGCGGCCGAUAUCAGAUUAGGUAGUUGGUGGGGUAAAGGCCCACCAAGCCAACGAUCUGUAGCUGGUCUGAGAGGACGACCCACCACGCCGGAACUGAGACACGGUCCAGCCUCCUACGGGAGGCAGCAGUAGGGAAUUUUGGACAAUGGGCGAAAGCCUGAUCCAGCCAUUCCGCGUGCAGAAUGAAGGCCCUCGGGUUGUAAACUGCUUUUGUACAGAACGAAGAGGUUUCUACUAAUACUAGGAGCUCAUGACGGUACUGUAAGAAUAAGCACCGGCUAACUACGUGCCAGCCGCCGCGGUAA